GUCAUGCCAAUGGCACUGCCCGGUAGCUAAAUGCGGAAGAGAUAAGUGCUGAAAGCAUCUAAGCACGAAACUUGCCCCGAGAUGAGUUCUCCCUGAGACUUGGAGUCUCCUGAAGGAACGUUGAAGACGACGACGUUGAUAGGCCGGGUGUGUAAGCGCAGCGAUGCGUUGAGCUAACCGGUACUAAUGAACCGUGAGGCUUAACCUUACAACGCCGAAG
rnacentral:rRNA from 1 species